ensembl:lncRNA LINC00877 long intergenic non-protein coding RNA 877
GUUUGACUUGAUUUUAAACUGUGGAGCACGUCAAGAGAAAGCUCACUGAUCUGCCGAGGGUUUGUGCUUUUCUGUCUUCAUGCAUCUGUUGUGGGUGAAGAGAGCAAAGAUUCUUCAUUCAAUCAAAGGCCCCCUUUGGAGAUGCUGAGAAGGAAAUUUCCUUUGGAAAUUCCCAAAGGUAGGUUCUUUGGGGAAGUGAGAACUCUGCUGCUUCAACCUUAGCCCAGCCUGCCCUCCUGGUGGGAAAGACCAGCCGUGUCUUGGCUUCCAAAGAACCAGGAGACAGAAGGAAUUUAUGGCUGGAAGCCCAGCAUGGUCGUGUCCCCUGGGCCCAGUUGCUUCCCCUCUGUGGUUUCCAUAUCUAUGUGUUAAGAGAAAGCAUCUGAAACUUUGAAAUAAGGAAGAAGAUGACUGCGUGUCCUUUGAAUGCCACAUUAAAGCACUGUCAGACAGGCCCUGCCCAAUGGCAAUUUAAUUCUUCAGGGCACGGGCCAAAUCUGGCUGCUGCCUGUUUUUGUAAAUAAAGUUCUAUUGGAACACAGCCACACCCA